rnacentral:lncRNA from 1 species
GGCCCCUCCGCACGGCCCCCCCGGCCCCCCCCGCAGCUUGGAGUGUAAGCAAGUCCUUCGUUAAGUCUACUUGGUUUAACCCUUCACGUGUCUGGCGUGUCUCCCUACGUCGGUAUCCGACCCUCCUUCCCCACCUUGCGGUCACACUGAGGGAGUGAGACGGGAGAACAUAACAAUUUGCUCCUGCAGAUUGCAACAACCCUAACUAAUAUCAGGAAUCAUGCUAUCUGUGUUGGAAGAGAAGAAACCUCUGGGAAUCCUUGCAUGAAAAGUCCCUAAAGAAACAAACGGCAAAGUGGCGGCACUGAAAUCUGGGAGAGAAAGAGAUGGUGUAUAGAGGGCCCAGCAAAGAUUAAGCUUAUAGCUGUGACCGACUCAGCAUAGCCUAAACUUCAAGGAAGAUGUUUUCUGAAUUUCUUACACCUAAAAAUCUUCAUGGGUAGGAAUGAUUGGAAGAAGAAUAGACACCUGCAAAGGAGAAGGCUUCGUCAUAUGCUGCUGUUGCUACAGCUAAAUACUAUUGUCUCUGGAAUCAGCAAGACUUUGAUUUGUCACUGA